CUGAACGCUUUGGGGCAGGUGAACCGUUUAAAUUGGUUUCGUGCAAAAGAUAAGCUGCUAACUACUCGGCUCUGCUUUCGCAUAAUGCUCUCUCUUUCUUUUAAAAUGUCAACGAGUGUAAAUGCCAACAUCAUCACAUCUAAAGGAGUGAAGGCUGUCAGUUCCAAAAUGGCAUCGUCCUCCUGGAAGUGACAUCAUUUUGGAGGGAAAACAGCAGCACAAACAUGUAUUGUAAGAUUGGUUGAAGGUUACAACUAUGGCCAGUGACAGAAGAAAUUACAAACAUGAACCUGAGAUUUUCUGCUACAUAGGUCCAGAUGAAAAAUCAAUACUUGGCCAGCCUCUCUAGGUCACCGUCGCAGACCGCCAUAACCAGGGACGACAAAACAGACACUAGCGUGUUUAGUUGACUCAAUACAUACUGAGUGUUGAGGUCUGUAAAUAUGGGCCAUCACCAUGACGACACGACUGAAGGUUUGAAGGUCUUUGUGAUUAUAAAUGUGAAAGAGUGGAC